rnacentral:snoRNA from 1 species
GGGUCAAAAAUGACAAAUCAUAUGGUCUCAAAGAGGGAUGAUGACCUAAAAAUUAUGCUCAAUAGGCUUAUGCUGAAGCCC